rnacentral:lncRNA from 1 species
GUGGUAAGAUCAAAUAACAUUAAUUAAAGCAUUUAGAAUAAUGCUUGGCACAUAGUAAGAAUUUAAUAAAAGUUAAUUAUUAUUUAUCUUUUUCCUACCAGGUGCAACAGAAUAUCUCUCCUCUCCUCUCUCUCCUCUCUCUCCUCUCCUCUCUCCUCUCUCUCCUCUCUCUCCUCUCUCUCCUCUCUCUCUCUCCUCUCUCUNNNNNNNNNNNNNNNNNNNNCUCCUCCCCCUCCCUUCCUCCCUCUUUCUCCUCUCAGCUAAUUUCAAUACCACGGAAAUCUUGUCUUCAGUUUUACAGCCUGAGAACAUGAUUUCUAGCAAGGGUUUGAAGGCUUGCUGAGAAUCUUAGAACAAUGAAAUGAGGAAAAGAGUUCACUCUCAUCAAGCUUAUAGCCAAUGAGGAAACGAUCCAAUUAUGAUUGUAUUUGCUGUGUGGACAUUAUUAGGGAAGUAUUGGAUUUUGUGAAAAAAAAGAUUCCUUUCAAAGACAGUCCCAUGAUGAUUGACCACUGCAGGGAACACAUUUUGAGGAAUCUCAUCUUUCUUUGUGUCAUACCACACACCACAAGGGUGGUCGGCAUGAGGAGCACUUAGGAAUCUGAUAACAAAUUACACCACUUCAAGACAUCGAUGGUUGGUAGGUUUGC